CUGUCUCAAAAAAAAAAAAAUACUGCAAUGAAAAAAUUGGGACUAGAGCAAUGCCUGUCUUUUUCCUCUGCAUUGAAAGGUGUAUUUAUCCUUUUAAAUGUAUUCAGAAUGCCAGCACAUUA